rnacentral:rRNA from 1 species
GACGAACCGUCCAAACGUUAUUCGGAAUCACUGGGCUUAAAGGGUGCGUAGGCGGCGCGGAAAGUUGGAUGUGAAAGCCCUCGGCUCAACCGAGGAACUGCGUCCAAAACUUCCGUGCUUGAGUGAGGCAGAGGUAAGCGGAACUUAGGGUGGAGCGGUGAAAUGCGUUGAUAUCCUAAGGAACACCGGUGGCGAAAGCGGCUUACUGGGCCUCAACUGACGCUGAUGCACGAAAGCUAGGGUAGCGAAC